rnacentral:rRNA from 1 species
AAGUCGUAACAAGGUAACCGUAGGUGAACCUGCGGUUGGAUCAUUUAUAAAAUUAGAAGGUCUUUCAGACCUAUCUACCACACUUUGUGAACUGUUUAUUGUCUCUGGCGAGGCUUCAAACCCUCGCCGAUUACUAAACUAUGUAUCAAACUUUUGUCUAGAAAUUAAGUUAUUAAAUUUAAAACAACUUUUAACAACGGAUCUCUAGGCUCUCGCAACGAUGAAGAACGCAGCGAAAUGCGAUAAGUAAUGUGAAUUGCAGAAUUCCGUGAAUCAUUAAAUCUUUGAACGCACAUUGCGCCCUCUGGUACUCCUAAGGGCAUGCCUGUUCGAGAAUCAGUUUAACCAUCAAACCUAUUGUGUAAAAGCAAUAUGGUUUGGACUUGAGAAGUCUGGGUGUAUACCGUCAGAAACUCUAAUAAAAUCUGUUGCCUGUCUAUACAAUGGCUAGAUAAAGGGCAUGACCAUUGAACAUUUUGUUCUUGUAUUGCUUGUAUGGUUUAAUCAUUUGUAUCUACGUGCGCACAUUAAAAUUUCACGAGAGAGUAAAAUCUCUCUCAAGACUUGAUCUCGAAUCAGACAAGACUACCCGCUGAACUUAAGCAUAUCAAUAAGCGGAGGAAAAGAAACUAACAAGGAUUCCCCUAGUAACGGCGAGUGAAGCGGGAAUAGCUCAAAUUUGAAAUCUCACAGGUUCCCUGUGCGAAUUGUAGUUUAAAGAAGUAUUUUCAGAGACAACCCAGGCAUAAGUCCUUUGGAACAGGGCAUCAUAGAAGGUGAGAUCCUGUAUAUGGUCUGGUGGUGUUUCUAUGUGAUAUACUUUCAAAGAGUCGGGUUGUUUGGGAAUGCAGCCCAAAAUGGGUGGUAAAUACCAUCUAAAGCUAAAUAUUGGCGAGAGACCGAUAGCGAACAAGUACCGUGAGGGAAAGAUGAAAAGGACUUUGAAAAGAGAGUUAAGUAGUACGUGAAAUUGUUAAAAGGGAAACACUUGAAACCAGUCUUGUUGGUAGAAUCCCAACUAGCUUAGCAGCUAGUAUAUGUUUCUACUGACAGGUCAACAUCGGUUUUGACUGGAGUACAAAGCUGGAAGAAGGUGACCUUUGGGUGUUAUAGCUUCCAGUAAUGCUUUGGUUGAGACCGAGGACUGCAGCUCAGUCUUGGGGACCCGUUCGCCAAUUGAAUAAUUCUUUGGACAACUCGUUGAUCAAAGAAGUGCUAAGAUUGUUCGGGCGGUACACCACACCUGUGCUUAGGAUGUUGACAUAAUGGUUUUAAAUGACC